rnacentral:rRNA from 1 species
CCUACGGGUGGCAGCAGUGGGGAAUAUUGCACAAUGGGGGAAACCCUGAUGCAGCAACGCCGCGUGAGUGAAGAAGUAUUUCGGUAUGUAAAGCUCUAUCAGCAGGGAAGAAGAUGACGGUACCUGAAUAAGAAGCCCCGGCUAACUACGUGCCAGCAGCCGCGGUAAUACGUAGGGGGCAAGCGUUAUGCGGAUUUACUGGGUGUAAAGGGAGCGCAGACGGCAGUGCAAGUCUGGAGUGAAAGCCCGGGGCUCAACCCCCGAACUGCUCUGGAUACUGUGCGGCUAGAGUACUGGAGGGGCAGGCGGAAUUCCGAGUGUAGCGGUGAAAGGCGUAGAUAUUGGGAGGAACACCAGUGGCGAAGGCGGCCUGCUGGACAGUAACUGACGUUGAGGCUCGAAAGCGUGGGGAGCAAACAGGAUUAGAUACCCGGGUAGUC